UCGCCAAAAGAUGAGUCCGCGUCCGAUUAGCUAGUUGGUGAGGUAACGGCUCACCAAGGCGACGAUCGGUAGCUGGUCUGAGAGGACGAUCAGCCACACUGGGACUGAGACACGGCCCAG
rnacentral:rRNA from 1 species